AGUGAACGCUGGCGGUAGGCCUAACACAUGCAAGUCGAACGGCAGCACAGUAAGAGCUUGCUCUUGCUGUUGGCGAGUGGCGGACGGGUGAGGAAUACAUCGGAAUCUACCUUUUCGUGGGUGAUAACGGAGGGAAACUUACGCUAAUACCGCAUACUUCCAACGGGUGGAAUCAGGGGAUCUUCAGGCCUUGCGCGACUGAAUGAGCCGAUGUCGGAUUAGCUAGGUGGCGGGGUAAAGGCCCACCAAGGCGACGAUCCGUAGCUGGUCUGAGAGGAUGAUCAGCCACACUGGAACUGAGACACGGUCCAGACUCCUACGGGAGGCAGCAGUGGGGAAUAUUGGACAAUGGGCGCAAGCCUGAUCCAGCCAUACCGCGUGGGUGAAGAAGGCCUUCGGGUUGUAAAGCCCUGUUGUUGGGAAAGAAAAGCAGCAGGUUAAUACCCCGCUGUUCUGACGGUACCCAAAGAAUAAGCACCGGCUAACUUCGUG
rnacentral:rRNA from 1 species